UACGUAGGGUGCGAGCGUUGUCCGGAAUUAUUGGGCGUAAAGGGCUCGUAGGCGGUUUGUCGCGUCGGGAGUGAAAACCUACAGCUUAACUGUGGGCUUGCUUUCGAUACGGGCAGACUAGAGGUAUGCAGGGGGGAACGGAAUUCCUGGUGUAGCGGUGAAAUGCGCAGAUAUCAGGAGGAACACCGGUGGCGAAGGCGGUUCUCUGGGCAUGAUCUGACGCUGAGGAGCGAAAGUGUGGGGAGCGAACAGG
rnacentral:rRNA from 1 species